rnacentral:misc_RNA from 1 species
GAUGAAGAACGUAGCGAAAUGCGAUACGUAUUGUGAAUUGCAGACUAGUGAACCAUCGAAUCUUUGAACGCACCUUGCGGCCGCCGGCUCUCCGGCGGCCACGCCCGUUCGAGCGUCAUCAAAACCCUCAGGCGUCACGCUUGGCCUUGGGUGCACAGGCUCGCCCUGGCGCCCUAAUCUUAUCGGCGGUAGCGUUUUGUGGGCCCUACGUAGUUCAUCCCUCGUAGCGGUCGCACUCGCUCCUUGCCUCGCACAACUUCAUCUUGACCUCGAAUCGGGUGGGGAUACCCGCUGAACUUAAGCAUAUCAAUAAGCGGAGGA